AGAGGAGUUGGUAGUCCAUCUGUGCAAUUUUGAUGAGUCCACAGUCUGUUCUGCUCAGCUGGAUAUCAGCGCUGUGUCUGACAGCAGAUACCCAUCAAAUACACAGGGGGAACAUGAAUGGCCUCUUCAUGUGGCUCGCCUUUAUCAAAGCUGGUAUCACUUCCGCUCAACAGUGGCUGGUCAAGCAGACUGCAGUACCAACUAUCAAUACGCAGGGGCGCUCUUCACAGACUACCACUUCUACUUCUACAGACACUGCACGGAAUUUUAGAAACAUAAUUACAGACAAAUUACAAAAACAUGUUUAUGGAAAAUUUGCUUUAUUUCUGCAAAGAUGACAAUUAGAGAAAUCCAAGUAUGCUCCAAUCACUUCUGCAAGUUUUUAUGUUUGGUUGUUUUGUUUUGGGGGGUUUCGCGGGGUGGGGUGGGGGAUGGGGGGGCAGGUUUGUUAUUCUAGAAAAAUGGCUGGUUAAUUUAAAAAAAAACAAAAAAACGACAGGUUGAAAACAUUAACUUUGACGUUGUAUUAUUUAAUGUAUUUUACUCAUAUCUUUGUUUUGUGCUAACUUUUACACAGACUGGCAAACAUGGAAAUGCCAAAAAUAAAAAACAUUACAACGACCCAUCUUCCAAUCAGAGAGGGGGAGUCAGAGAUGGGAUUUACUGUGACUGCAGUUCAGACAGGAUAAGUGUAGGCACACAUGCGGGGAUCAUCGAGAUUUAAAAAAAAGUAUAUUUCUGCCAUGUGAAAAUUUGUUUUUUAUAUGCAUUUUUAAAUUGUCUAUUUUUCUGCCUUUUCUCAAAUAUUUGUUUUUGUUUUUCUUUGAUAUGAGCAAUUUUACCUCCUUGUGUCUGUGAAACUGUUAAAAUGUAGAUAGAUAUAAAAAUCCUUAUAUACACACGACAUCCCAGAUGAGAAUGAAUGAAUAAUUUAUAUUAAAUACUUUGUUUCUUCAGAUAGUUGAAUGUGCUGACAAAAAAAUCACACAAAAUUUAUCAAUGGAAAUCAAAUUUAGCAACCCAUGGAGGUCCAUAUUGUGAGUCACGCUCAAAAUUAAAAUUGAAAAAAA